GACGAACGCUGGCGGCGUGCUUAACACAUGCAAGUCGAACGGAAAGGCCCUUCUUUUUUCUCGUGUUCCUAACGGGUUAGUAACACUUUCGUGUUCUUCCCUUCACUUUUUCUUUAGCCUGUCUUACUGGGUCUAAUACCGAUUAUGAUCAUCUGCUUCUUCUUCUUUGUUGGAUAUCUUUUGCGGUGUGGGAUGGGCCCGCGGCCUAUCAGCUUGUUGGUGUGGUAUUGGUAUACCAAGGCGAAGACGGGUAGCCGGCCUGAGAGGGUGACCGGCCACAAUGGGACUGAGAUACGGCCCAGACUCCUACGGGAGGCAGCAGUGGGGAAUAUUGCACAAUGGGCGGAAGCAUGAUGCAGAGACGCCGCGUGAGGGAUGACGGCCUUCGGGUUGUAAACCUAUUUCAGCAGAGACGAAGCGAAAGUGACGGUAAGUGGAGAAGAAGGACCGGCCAACUACGUG
rnacentral:rRNA from 1 species